rnacentral:rRNA from 1 species
CCUACGGGAGGCAGCAGUGGGGGAUAUUGCACAAUGGGGGGAACCCUGAUGCAGCGACGCCGCGUGGGUGAAGAAGCGCCUCGGCGCGUAAAGCCCUGUCAGCAGGGAAGAAAAUGACGGUACCUGAAGAAGAAGCCCCGGCUAACUACGUGCCAGCAGCCGCGGUAAUACGUAGGGGGAAAGCGUUAUCCGGAUUUACUGGGGGGAAAGGGGGCGCAGACGGCGAUGCAAGCCAGGAGUGAAAGCCCGGGGCCCAACCCCGGGACUGCUCUUGGAACUGCGUGGCUGGAGUGCAGGAGGGGCAGGCGGAAGUCCUGGUGUAGCGGUGAAAUGCGUAGAUAUCAGGAGGAACACCGGUGGCGAAGGCGGCCUGCUGGACUGCAACUGACGUUGAGGCCCGAAAGCGUGGGGAGCAAACAGGAUUAGAUACCCCUGUAGUC